UACUAUGGGGUAUCUCUUUGUAUGAGGUAGGUUUACUGUGGUAUUCACACACUGUGACCAGUUCAGAAUAGACAGCUGGGCAUUAUUUUGGAAAUGAAAAUUUCCACCCUGACAAUAAAUCUGUAUAGUAAUUAUUUUUAUUGCCCUGUAUGGUGGCCAUCUGCAAUGGCGAUCUGAACUUAGAAAGAGUGUCUCGUAAAUCAGAUGUAAUCUAAAAUCUUCCAAUAGUUUGUAAAUCUGCCCAGGAGUUAGGGGUUCAUUGAAGCAGACAGCUUAAUACAUUAACCUCUCACCUCUGUGGAACUGCACUCAAAAGAUGGCUUUGGUCAAGAAGUGAAAAUGGGAUUGGUAAUUUCAUCGUCGUCAGUAAGGGACGUGGCUGCUCUUGUAAAGUCAGUGAAGAAGCCCAUGGCCAUUCACAUGCAGUCCUCCUGUUGUGGCUACGGGGGACAAGGAGGGGACAGGGCUGCCAGCUGUGUGAGUGGGGACAUCAGUAGAAACACAUCUUUCAGAAGGAUGACAGGAUGAGGCACAAGGGCACGCAAGCAUGCUGCAGUUCAUAAGAGCCUGGCGACUUGCAAAUCUCAUCCACAGCUCCCAGCCCAAUUAGUGAGGGUUUGCUCUGGGGGCUGUUAGCAUCCACCAAGGCACUCAGGUAGUCAACGUGGCACCCACUGUGUGUGGCCACUGGUGGCUGGCCCUUGCCCUGUGCCAGCAAGUGGCCACAGCCUGUGGUCAUCGUCUGUCAGCAGCACCUCCAUGGUGACUUAGUGCCGUCUGCUAGUGGCAAAGCGUGCUAAUCUGUGUCGAGGUGGGGAACAGAGAUUGAGCAAUAGCAGUGUCAGAAGCAGACACCUCUCUGGGGAGCUGGUCACUCCCUGAGUCCCUAUUAAAUAGUUAGCACACGGCUGGGAGUCACUUGACAGGACCAUCCCUGUCUAUCAGCCUGUGAGCAUGCUCGUGUGGAUUUAUGGUCCUCACACCCUUUAGACCACCCCUGAGAAAUACCCAUCCAAACAAAAAUCACCCAUGACCCUUGGCUUUGACUUGGUGACCUCUCCCUUUCCCUUGCACAUGCCCUGUCUGCCUGUGAUUUGUCAGCUGACUAACCAGGUCGGGUGCAAUCUCAGCUGUUAAUGGACAUUUGAAAAGAAAAUGUGCAAAUGUGCUUCUCUGGAACCCACAAGCACCUGCAAAAAAAACUACCAAUACAUUUCUGUGUGGGCUUUUUGGAGGUCUGCUUGGAAAAAACAUCAUCCUGAGGAGUUUUAACCUUACAACAACAUGCUCCUGGUUUGUGCAGGUUAGGGGUGAGAUGAAAAGCACACUCUGAAACACAGUGAUAGAAAGCCUAAUCACUUUUUAUUUUUACCUCGUAUCUUUUCACUUUUUCCAGUUGAUUCUAAAGCUCUUGGAGCCUACUAGCAAGGAUUACAUGAUACAAAACAAACCUUUGCCAGUGGUAGAACCAGAUCAGCAGAAACAAGACAAUAGUCCUUUUCAUGCCACAAAAAUGCAACUAAGCAGCAUAUAGUUUCAUGUGUGCUUCCACUUUUUUCCCCUCCUCAUUAAAUUAUGAAAUACUAUUUACUCGCAAACAUUAUAGUUCACUUUUUAAGGGAAUUAAUAUGAUUAAAGGCUUGUUUGGAUGUGAUGAUUGAAGUUCCAACUAUUAAAAUGCACAUCGGUGUGCAGGGAAAAUAAAAAGGCACGGAAAUUCUUUUC
ensembl:lncRNA